GAUGAACGCUGGCGGCGUGCCUAAUACAUGCAAGUCGAGCGAACAGACGAGGAGCUUGCUCCUCUGACGUUAGCGGCGGACGGGUGAGUAACACGUGGAUAACCUACCUAUAAGACUGGGAUAACUUCGGGAAACCGGAGCUAAUACCGGAUAAUAUAUUGAACCGCAUGGUUCAAUAGUGAAAGACGGUUUUGCUGUCACUGAUAGAUGGAUCCGCGCCGCAUUAGCUAGUUGGUAAGGUAACGGCUUACCAAGGCAACGAUGCGUAGCCGACCUGAGAGGUUGAUCGGCCACACUGGAACUGAGACACGGUCCAGACUCCUACGGGAGGCAGCAGUAGGGAAUCUUCCGCAAUGGGCGAAAGCCUGACGGAGCAACGCCGCGUGAGUGAUGAAGGUCUUCGGAUCGUAAAACUCUGUUAUUAGGGAAGAACAAAUGUGUAAGUAACUAUGCACGUCUUGACGGUACCUAAUCAGAAAGCCACGGCUAACUACGUG
rnacentral:rRNA from 1 species